UACAGCAUGUUGCUGUAGAUCUGCAAAGCAUCAUGGUCUUUUUUCAACGGCGGGUAAAUUCUACAGUAAAAAUAUUUUUCCUGUGAAUCACAAUACAGCAAUUUCUAAAGGAUUUUUUUCUUCAGCCAAGGAAAGCUACGAGAUUCCACACUUUCAUCUGAAUUUUUACUUCAGAAAGGGUUGAUGACGUAUGCGAGUGCGACCUCCGCAGGCUGAAACCAGUCUCUCGAGCUGAAAGAAAACGCAGCUGAGGAGAUAUGAGGAAACUUCCACCUACAGUAAGCAGAUGCUGAGGCCCAGAUUUCCAUGCUAAGCACUCCAAGGCUCAUCAUGCUCGGAGUGUCCAAUCUGAGGGCAAAAAAUGGAUGCUUUCCAUCGAGGGCAGAGUUCUCCUCCAAUUGAGUGACGGUGGUGAUUUCACUUCUGCUCUAGCCUUUUUGCGUCAUACUAUGUAUGAGGCAGCCACUACAUUGGGAUUUAUCCAGAGGGUAGAGUCCAGCCCAGGAAGUCAACUAGUUCAUGUCCAGAUUUAAAAGAAUAAUAUUUCUGAAAAAAAGGUCUUGGAGAAAAACAAUAUUCAGGUUUGAAAUCCUGUUGUAAAUGUAAAUCAUUUAACUUUUAUGCAUUUGUAAUUUACCAGAAAAAUUUUAAUAAAUAUUGAUUGUUUUGUGUGUUCAGAAAAAAGUGUUUUUGUAUGUUCAGAAAAGUGUUGAAAUUAAAUGAAACAUUCACAGAAAAAUGUUAACAUAUUUAAAAAAAUGUAUAUGUUCAGAAAAGUUGAGAUGUUCACAGAAAAAAUGUAACACAAAAAAUGUAUGCUAUGCUAUUUUUAAUUUAUGAAUUUUUGUAAUUUAAAGUGAUAAAAUAAAUGGCAUUUUUGUGACAAACAGUGUCUUCAUUUUACAGUACACAAAAUAAAUGCAGUAAUCCCUAUUACAGUAGUAGUUAUGAAAUACAGUACUGUGAUUAUUACUUUAAAAGAGUUUACAGUAAUUUUAAUUUUACUGCAAUUACAUUUACAGUAAGAAUACUGUGAAAUGAAAUACAGCAACUUACUAGCUAAUUGCUGCCAGCAAGUUACUGUAUUUUUCACAGGAUUCUUUUUACAGUG